UCAAGCGCGAAAAGGGCGUUUGGUGAAUGCCUUGGCAGUAAGAGGCGAUGAAAGACGUGAUACUCUGCGAUAAGUCAUGGGGAGCUGAGAAUAAGCUUUGAUCCAUGAAUUUCUGAAUGGGGCAACCCACCUGAUACUUUGUUAUUGUUAGCCCGGUUCAAUCCUCGGAUUGAACCUCCAGGUUAUCAAUAAUGAGGUAAACCAGGUAUUUUUAACCUGAAUACAUAGGGUUAAAAAGGCAAACCCGGGGAACUGAAACAUCUAAGUACCCGGAGGAAAGGAAAUCAAUAUGAUACUCCCCUAGUAGCGGCGAGCGAACGGGGACCAGCCGAGCCUUGAGUGUGAGAAGAACAUGUUGGGAAGCAUGGCCAUAGCGGGUGAUAGCCCCGUAUUCUAAGCAUGAUAGGACGUAUUAAGUAGGGCGGAACACGUGAAAUUCUGUCUGAAGAUCGGAGGACCACCUUCGAAGGCUAAGUACUCCUUACUGACCGAUAGUGAACCAGUACCGUGAGGGAAAGGUGAAAAGCACCCCGACGAGGGGAGUGAAACAGUACCUGAAACCGAACGCCUACAAUCAGUUGGAGGGCCCUUGAGGCCUGACAGCGUACCUUUUGUAUAAUGGGUCAUCGACUUGGUCUCACAAGCAAGCUUAAGCCGUUAGGUGUAGGCGCAGCGAAAGCGAGUCUUAAUAGGGCGAAUGAGUUUGUGGGAUCAGACCCGAAACCGAGUGAUCUUGGCAUGGCCAGGUUGAAGGUGCAGUAACAUGCACUGGAGGACCGAACCCACAUCUGUUGAAAAAGAUCGGGAUGAGCUGUGCCAAGGGGUGAAAGGCCAAUCAAACUCGGAGAUAGCUGGUUCUCUGCGAAAUCUAUUUAGGUAGAGCGUCAUCCGAAUACCCCGGGGGGUAGAGCACUGGAUGGGCAAUGGGGGCAUACAGCCUUACUGACCCUAACCAAACUCCGAAUACCCGGGAGUACUAGAUGGCAGACACACUGCGGAUGCUAACGUCCGUAGUGAAGAGGGAAACAACCCUGACCUCCGGCUAAGGCCCCUAAUUCAUGGCUAAGUGGGAAAGCAGGUGGGACGACCAAAACAACCAGGAGGUUGGCUUAGAAGCAGCCAUCCUUUAAAGAUAGCGUAACAGCUCACUGGUCUAAAUAAGUUGUCCUGCGGCGAAGAUGUAACGGGGCUCAAGCCAUGAGCCGAAGCCGAGGAUGCACAUAGUGCAUGGUAGCAGAGCGUAGUGUGACAUAGUUCCAUGUCUCUUUUGUUUAAGCGGAUCGUCUGGUCCUUGGGUGCUCCGGCGCUCAAGUAGCCGAAUAGGCGGUAGCGCGAAUAACGGAGACACGGAGCUUUCGAUGAAGCCGGGGCGUAAGCCAUCCGGUGGAGAGAUCACUAGUGAGAAUGAUGACAUGAGUAGCGACAAAGAGUGUGAGAGACACUCUCGCCGAAAAUCCAAGGGUUCCUGCUUAAAGCUAAUCUGAGCAGGGUAAGCCGACCCCUAAGGCGAGGCCGAAAGGCGUAGUCGAUGGGAACCAGGUUAAUAUUCCUGGGCCAGGAAGUGGUGACGGAUCUCGAAGGUAGUUCAUCCUUAUUGGAUUGAAUGGGCUGCUUAGAGGUUCCUGGAAAUAGCCCUUCCAUGAGAUCGUACCCUAAACCGACACAGGUGGAUAGGUAGAGAAUACCAAGGCGCUUGAGAGAACUAUGUUGAAGGAACUCGGCAAAAUACCUCCGUAAGUUCGCGAGAAGGAGGCCCGGUUUCUACGCAAGUGGAAGCUGGGGGCACAAACCAGGGGGUGGCGACUGUUUAUUAAAAACACAGGGCUCUGCGAAGUCGUAAGACGACGUAUAGGGUCUGACGCCUGCCCGGUGCCUGAAGGUUAAAAGGAGGGGUGAGAGCUCUGAAUUGAAGCCCAGGUAAACGGCGGCCGUAACUAUAACGGUCCUAAGGUAGCGAAAUUCCUUGUCGGG
rnacentral:rRNA from 1 species